UCUGCGAUAGCUCAGUUGGUACAGCAUGAUAUUCUUAUUCUCACUGUCAUGGGUUUGAGCCCCACGCUGGGCAAAA